rnacentral:rRNA from 1 species
AUGGGGUGCAGCAGGCGCGAAAACUCCGCAAUGCCCGCAAGGGCGACGGGGGGACCCCGAGUGCCCCUGCACUGCAGGGGCUUUUGCGGAGUGUAAAAAGCUCCGCGAAUAAGGGCUGGGCAAGACCGGUGCCAGCCGCCGCGGUAACACCGGCAGCCCGAGUGGUGGCCGNUAUUAUUGGGCCUAAAGCGUCCGUAGCCGGGCGGGUAAGUCCCUGUGGAAAUCCUCAGGNUCAACCUGAGGAAGUGCGGGGAUACUGCCCGCCUAGGGGCCGGGAGACGCGGAGGGUACUCCAGGGGUAGCGGUGAAAUGCUGUAAUCCCUGGGGGACCACCAGUGGCGAAGGCGCUCCGCGAGAACGGGCCCGACGGUGAGGGACGAAAGCCAGGGGAGCGAACGGGAUUAGAUACCCCGGUAGUCCUGGCCGUAAACGCUGCCCGCUAGGUGUUGCACGCUCUNCNNNNNNGUGCAGUGCCGAAGCGAAGGUGAUAAGCGGGCCGCCUGGGAAGUACGCUCGCAAGAGUGAAACUUAAAGGANNNNNCGGGAGAGCAC